rnacentral:rRNA from 1 species
UACCAGCACCCCGAGUGGUCGGGACGUUUUAUUGGGCCUAAAGCAUCCGUAGCCGGUUCUACAAGUCUUCCGUUAAAUCCAACUGCUUAACAGGUGGGCUGCGGAAGAUACUAUAGAGCUAGGAGGCGGGAGAGGCAAGCGGUACUCGAUGGGUAGGGGUAAAAUCCGUUGAUCCAUUGAAGACCACCAGUGGCGAAGGCGGCUUGCCAGAACGCGCUCGACGGUGAGGGAGUGAAAGCUAAGGGGAGCAAACGGG